rnacentral:rRNA from 1 species
GACGAACGCUGGCGGCGUGCCUAAUACAUGCAAGUAGAACGCUGAAGGAGGAGCUUGCUUCUCUGGAUGAGUUGCGAACGGGUGAGUAACGCGUAGGUAACCUGCCUGGUAGCGGGGGAUAACUAUUGGAAACGAUAGCUAAUACCGCAUAAGAGUAGAUGUUGCAUGAUAUUUGCUUAAAAGGUGCAAUUGCAUCACUACCAGAUGGACCUGCGUUGUAUUAGCUAGUAGGUGGGGUAACGGCUCACCAAGGCGAAGAUACAUAGCCGACCUGGGAGGGGGGUCGGCCCCACUGGGAAUGGGACCCGGCCCCAGCUCCUGCGGGAGGCCGCCGUAGGGAAACUUCGGCCAUGGGCGGAAGUCUGACCGGGCAACGCCGCGUGAGUGAAGAAGGUUUUCGGGUCGUAAAGCUCCGUUGUAAGAGGAGAACGAAUGUGGGAGUGGAAAGUUCACACUGUGACGGUAUCUUACCAGAAAGGGACGGCUAACUACGUG